rnacentral:rRNA from 1 species
GAGGAAUAUUGGUCAAUGGACGAGAGUCUGAACCAGCCAUCCCGCGUGCAGGAUGACGGCCCUAUGGGUUGUAAACUGCUUUUCUACGCCAAGAAACCUACCAACGUGUUGGUAGCUGACGGUAGCGUAGGAA